AAAACACUUCCUUACCAUGUUCGGAGUCAACGUGAUGCCAUUAAGCUGUGUUAAAUUCUAAGUUUAGGGUAAACCCCAUAAGUAUCAAAAACCAAGGUGAGUACAAAAAAAAAGAUAAAUGUAGUCGAUGGUUCGAAAGAAGCACUCACCGAAGGAAGAUCACUUAGUUGAAAAAAAAAGGAGAGAAUAUCAAAGAAAAACUGAGCAAUUGAAAAAGAAAAGAAUAAAACAUAGUGAGAAUAAUAUUAACAUUGGCUCUGAACCCAAAACCACUUGUUUUCCCUUUUG
rnacentral:lncRNA from 1 species